ensembl:snRNA U6 U6 spliceosomal RNA
GUGCUUGCUUCAGCAGCACCUACAUUAAAAUUGGAACGAUACAGAGAAGAUUAGCUCCUGCGCAAGGAUGACACACAAAUUUGUGAAGCAUUCCGUAUUUUU